GGAAGUAAAAGUCGCAACAAGGUUUCCGUAGGUGAACCUGCGGAAGGAUCAUUAAAGAGAAUAUGCCCUUCGGGGUAGAUCUCCCACCCUUUGUUUAUAUUACCUUUGUUGCUUUGGCAGGCCCGUCUUCGGACCACCGGCUUCGGCUGGUCAGUGCUUGCCAGAGGACCCAAAACUCUUAUUAUUAAUGUCGUCUGAGUACUAUAUAAUAGUUAAAACUUUCAACAACGGAUCUCUUGGUUCUG
rnacentral:misc_RNA from 1 species